CAUAAGAGUAGUUUAUUUAAGCGUAAAUAUAUUCCUGGUACAACUGGGGCAAAAAGAGCAAGAAAAACAAAAAUCUUUUCUGCUCAGUUAAAAUGAAGGAUUCCAGUCUGAAUCUCCCAUUUUUCUCUGCAUUUUUACGGUGACACUGUAAUUACUCAACUUGUCCACGUUGAGCAAUAUGAAUGGUGGAAAGUUUGCACAUUGAUUUGUAAUGCCUUUCUUGACACUGAUUGGACGAAUAGUUGUUUUUGCUAACUAUAAAGCACCUGAAUCCAAAACGUAACGGAUAUGGGGCUGAAGCAUAGAUUUUUAUGGAGGAUAGGGAGAGUAUGUUGGCUGCACUUUUUGGCAUGGAUGAGGACCAAAGGGAAAAGGAGCAAGAGAGGUUGAUUGCUAGGAAAAGGAAGAGAAAGGGAAUCCCGAGGAAACUUGUUCUUUGUAAUGAAAAGUUAUCAACCUCUGAAUCUUUCCAUCGCAGCCCCACUGAAUACUUUUCAAAUGAAGAGUGUUUCGAUCUGAACAAAAUUGGGGGAGAUUUUGUUCCUUGUUCAUUGAUUGUCUGUUCUGGGGAGGACAUAAUCUCAAAAAUAACUUCAUUUGUUGAGAGUUGUUCUUGUAACUGUUACAUUGCUUCUGCUGCCGGAUGUGUUGCUUGUGCUAGCAUUCUUGAAUGUGGUACAGCUUCUACACAUGAGGGAUCAUAUGAAAUAGUAUCCCUGACAGGGCAUGUCUCCAUGCCCUUAAACCUUGGUCGCAGUAAUGGUUAUGGAAUUCUGAUCACUUUGGCAUCCAAAAAUGAUUCUGUGUUCGGGGGCUAUGUUUCUGGCCCUUUGAUAGCAAAAACUAAUGUUCAAGUAAGGACUUGAUUUCCCUGUCGGUUUAUUAUAUCAGCCGUAGGAAAUUCAGUCUUGUGUGAAUAAAUUUAAGAUUGUGCUGUGGAGGUUUACUAGUCCUUCUGCAAGGGAAGCUUCUACGUCCGGUGCAGAAUCUCCGGCGACCAAAAUGGAGGUUUCUUAAAACUUAUAGCCCUAAGGAUAUAUUAAGUUAAAUUUGUUGUUUCUGGUGGGGGUUAUAAUCCUUCACUUCUCUGACUCUUUCAAGCUUGAUGAUAAAACGUAAACAUGGUUUUUAGAAACUUAGCUUCAUUUUGGAUCGUUGCGAAUAAAUUUAACUUUGGAUUUGGCACUCUUAAUUUGGAUUGUCCCUAAGCAGCCUGGGUUUUGCUUUUUGUUGAAUGGUAUUUUGUUUAGGGGGUUUAUAUUUGAUACUGUGUCAAAUCAAUCCUAUAUAUAGUUGGAUAAA